AAACCUUCCACCACCGAACCCCUGGGUCCUCCCACCAAGAAAAAACUUACCAAAUUGCAAAAAGAAAGGUAAAUGGCAAAUACCCGGAAACCAUUGAAUUUUGAAACCCCCUUGGCCCCCUUGACCUUCCCCAGGGGCUGGCCGGUUGAACCGCCAUUC
rnacentral:rRNA from 1 species